UGAAACAGAGGUUCAUAUUUUCUUUAUCUUUUAUCCUAUGACUAUUUAUUUAUGCUCUUUCUUUUACCAUCUCAGUAGUUCAAUCUUUUUUGUUCAUUGUAGGGUUCUCCAAAUAGGACCUCUCGGCGGGACUCAAAACGGGCUGCUAAGCGGAAUGAGCUGGCAUCUUCAGGCUUUUCUAGUUGCACAAGAGUACGUGAUUAGUUGGCAUCCUCAGCAUUUCUAGUUGCACAAUACCAUCCGACUAGUUGACAUCCUCAGUCCUUUUGUAGCUGCGUUGACACCCUCAGCAUUUUCUUCUAGAAGCCUGGAACCUGAAUGUGCACUUUUUUUGAUUGGUCAU
rnacentral:lncRNA from 1 species